rnacentral:rRNA from 1 species
GUCGAGCGGAGAGAGGUAGCUUGCUACUGAUCUUAGCGGCGGACGGGUGAGUAAUGCUUAGGAAUCUGCCUAUUAGUGGGGGACAACAUUUCGAAAGGAAUGCUAAUACCGCAUACGUCCUACGGGAGAAAGCAGGGGAUCUUCGGACCUUGCGCUAAUAGAUGAGCCUAAGUCGGAUUAGCUAGUUGGUGGGGUAAAGGCCUACCAAGGCGACGAUCUGUAGCGGGUCUGAGAGGAUGAUCCGCCACACUGGGACUGAGACACGGCCCAGACUCCUACGGGAGGCAGCAGUGGGGAAUAUUGGACAAUGGGCGCAAGCCUGAUCCAGCCAUGCCGCGUGUGUGAAGAAGGCCUUAUGGUUGUAAAGCACUUUAAGCGAGGAGGAGGCUACUUUAGUUAAUACCUAGAGAUAGUGGACGUUACUCGCAGAAUAAGCACCGGCUAACUCUGUGCCAGCAGCCGCGGUAAUACAGAGGGUGCAAGCGUUAAUCGGAUUUACUGGGCGUAAAGCGCGCGUAGGCGGCUAAUUAAGUCAAAUGUGAAAUCCCCGAGCUUAACUUGGGAAUUGCAUUCGAUACUGGUUAGCUAGAGUGUGGGAGAGGAUGGUAGAAUUCCAGGUGUAGCGGUGAAAUGCGUAGAGAUCUGGAGGAAUACCGAUGGCGAAGGCAGCCAUCUGGCCUAACACUGACGCUGAGGUGCGAAAGCAUGGGGGAGCAAACAGGAUUAGAUACCCUGGUAGUCCAUGCCGUAAACGAUGUCUACUAGCCGUUGGGGCCUUUGAGGCUUUAGUGGCGCAGCUAACGCGAUAAGUAGACCGCCUGGGGGAGUACGGUCGCAAGACUAAAAACUCAAAUGAAUUUGACGGGGGCCCGCACAAGCGGGUGGAGCAUG